AUUUUUUGAACACAACAAAUUUAACUGGGGCGGUAUAUCUGUCAAACAAUAACGCAAGUGUGCUAAGGUUGACUCAGUGAGGACAAAAACCUCACGUAAAGCAAAAGGGGCAAAAGUCAACUUGAUCUUGAUUUUCAGUUUGAUAAAGACUGCAAAAGCAGGCCCUAUCGAUCCUUUUGAUUUUAAGGGUUUUAAACAAGAGGUGCCAG
rnacentral:rRNA from 1 species